rnacentral:rRNA from 1 species
GCCGGAAUAUUGGGCGUAAAGAGCUCGUAGGCGGCUUGUCGCGUCUGCUGUGAAAGCCCGGGGCUUAACUCCGGGUGUGCAGUGGGUACGGGCAGGCUAGAGUGCAGUAGGGGUAACUGGAAUUCCUGGUGUAGCGGUGAAAUGCGCAGAUAUCAGGAGGAACACCGAUGGCGAAGGCAGGUUACUGGGCUGUUACUGACGCUGAGGAGCGAAAGCAUGGGGAGCGAACAGGAUUAGAUACCCUGGUAGUCCAUGCCGUAAACGUUGGGCACUAGGURGUGAGGGGACAUUCCACGUUUUCCGCGCCGUAGCUAACGCAUUAAGUGCCCCGCCUGGGGAGUACGSCCGCAAGRCUAAAACUCAAAGGAAUUGACGGGGGCCCGCACAAGCGGCGGAGCAUGCGGAUUAAUUCGAUGCAACGCGAAGAACCUUACCAAGGCUUGACAUACACCGGAUCGUUCCAGAGAUGGUUCUUCCCUUUUGGGCUGGUGUACAGGUGGUGCAUGGUUGUCGUCAGCUUCGUGUCGUGAGAUGUUGGGUUAAGUCCCGCAACGAGCGCAACCCUCGUUCUAUGUUGCCAGCACGUGAUGGUGGGGACUCAUAGGAGACUGCCGGGGUCAACUCGGAGGAAGGUGGGGAUGACGUCAAAUCAUCAUGCCCCUUAUGUCUUGGGCUUCACGCAUGCUACAAUGGCCGGUACAAUGGGUUGCGAUACUGUGAGGUGGAGMUAAUCCCAAAAAGCCGGUCUCAGUUCGGAUUGGGGUCWGCAACUCGGCCCCAUGAAGUCGGAGUCGCUAGUAAUCGCAGAUCAGCAACGCUGCGGCGAAUACGUUCCCGGGCCUYGUACACACCGCCCGUCAAGUCACGAAAGWUGGUAACACCCGAAGCCGAUGGCCUAACCCUUGUGGAGGGAGUCGUCGAAUGGUGGGACUGGCGAUUGGGADCUAAGUHGUAACCAAGGUAAACCGUAAAGGG